UACCACCCUUGUAUGUUUGAUGUUCUAACUUAGCCCCAUUAUCUGGGGUGAGGACAGUGCCUGGUGGGUAGUUUGACUGGGGCGGUCUCCUCCCAAAGAGUAACGGAGGAGCACGAAGGUGGGCUAAUCACGGUUGGACAUCGUGAGGUUAGUGCAAUGGCAUAAGCCCGCUUAACUGCGAGAAUGACGGUUCGAGCAGGUGCGAAAGCAGGUCAUAGUGAUCCGGUGGUUCUGUAUGGAAGGGCCAUCGCUCAACGGAUAAAAGGUACUCCGGGGAUAACAGGCUGAUACCGCCCAAGAGUUCAUAUCGACGGCGGUGUUUGGCACCUCGAUGUCGGCUCAUCACAUCCUGGGGCUGAAGUCGGUCCCAAGGGUAUGGCUGUUCGCCAUUUAAAGUGGUACGCGAGCUGGGUUUAGAACGUCGUGAGACAGUUCGGUCCCUAUCUGCCGUGGGCGUUGGAAGAUUGAAGGGGGCUGCUCCUAGUACGAGAGGACCGGAGUGGACGAACCUCUGGUGUUCGGGUUGUGUCGCCAGACGCAUUGCCCGGUAGCUAAGUUCGGAAUUGAUAAGCGCUGAAAGCAUCUAAGCGCGAAGCGAGCCCUGAGAUGAGUCUUCCCUGAUACUUUAAGUAUCCUAAAGGGUUGUUCGAGACUAGAACGUUGAUAGGCAGGGUGUGUAAGCGUUGUGAGGCGUUGAGCUAACCUGUACUAAUUGCCCGUGAGGCUUAACCAUACAACACCCAAGG
rnacentral:rRNA from 1 species